rnacentral:lncRNA from 1 species
GGUCAUUUUGCACUUCCUAAGGCUUCCACUAGAUGUCAACAGUCUUUAGAAUGUUGUUUCAUGCUUCUACUGUGACUGGGGUGAGAAUAAGAGCAUAUGGAGUCAGAUGACUGAGAAAAUGACAUGAGCUCAAUCGCGCGCACUCCCGUGGGAGUUAGGUGUGUUCAUUUUCAUUUCUGAAGACAAAGGAAUCGUCCGGUUGGAAUAUUAUGGAAGAUUUAUGAUAAAACAUCCUAAAGAUUGAUUCUAUACAUCGUUUGACAUGUUUCUACAAACUGUAAUAUAACAUUUUUGACUUUGUCUGAAUUUACUGUGCGAGCACAGUGCAUUUGGAUUACUCAACUGAAAGCGCGAACAAAAUGGAGGUAUUGGGACAUAAAGAUGGACUUUAUCGAACAAAACAAACUUUAAUUCUGGAACUGGGAUUCCUGGGAGUGCAUUCCGAUGAAGAUCAAAGGUAAGUGAAUAUUUAUAAUGUUAUUUGUGACUUCUGUCGACUCCAAAAUGGCGGGUAUCGAUAUGGCUUGUUUUGAUGUCUGAGCGCUGUACUCAGAUUAUUGCAAAGUUUGCUUUCACUGUAAAGCUUUUUUGAAAUCUGACACAGCGGUUGCAUUAAGGAGAGGUGUAUCUAUAAUUCUUUGAAUAACAGUUGUAUAUUUUAUCAACGUUUAUGAUGAGUAUUUCUGUAAAUUGAUGUGCUCAUUCACCGGAGUUUUGGGAGGCAAAACAUUUCUGAACAUUACACGCCAAUGUAAUUAUUAUUUUUUUUUAAAUAUAAAUAUGAACUUUAUCGAGCAAAACAUACAUGUAUUGUGUAACAUGAAGUCCUAUGAGUGCCAUCUGAUGAAGAUCAAAGGUUAGUGAUUACUUUUAGCUGUAUUUCUGGUUUUUGUGACACCUCUCCUUGCUUGGAAAAUGGCUGUGUGGUUUUUCUUGUCUAGGUGCUGUCCUAACAUAAUCUAAUGUUAUGCUUUCGCCGUAAAGCCUUUUUGAAAUCGGACAGUGUGGUUGGAUUAACGAGAAGUGUAUCUUUAAAAAAUGGAAUAUAAUAGUUGUAUGUUUGAGAAAUUUGAAUUAUGAGAUUUUUGUUGUUUUGAAUUUGGCGCCCUGCUAUUUCACUGGCUGUUGGCGAGUGUGUCCCGCAGGUGGCGUCCCACAUACCCCAGAGAGGCUAGAGGCCAGUGAUUUUACUGCAGGGAAACCGAAAUCUAUUUUACCCAAUUUCUACCAGCAUGUCACCUGUGCAACCCCAUGUCCCAUCCCAUGAUGCGGAUGUUAAGCUACAAGACGGUUUCGCUAGCACAGACUUGAAUAUGUUCCGGGAUUCAUCCGAUGGCAGAAGUUUACCACAUUGAUCAUCCAUUUCAAACUUAAGGUAUAGAACACACUCUGAAGUUUCUAAAACUGUUUGAAUGAAGUCUGAGUGUAACAGAACUCAUAUGGCAGGCAAAACCUGAGAAAAAUCCAACCAGGAAGUGGGAAAUCUGAUGCUUGUAGUCUUUAAGUCAUUGCCUAUCUAACACACAGUGACUUAGGGUUCAUUUUGCACUUCCUAAGGCUUCCACUAGAUGUCAACAGUCUUUAGAACCUUGUUUCAGGCUUUUGCAGUGAACAGAGAGCGAACAAGGCGGCCGGGAAGUUGGGUGACUCAGAAAAUGACAUGAGUUCAGUGGCGCGCAGUCACGUGAUGAGGUAGCUGUGUUCCAUAACGUUUUUCAAGACAUUGGAAUCGUCCGCGCACCUCUGAGCUCGUCAUUUCCUCACUCAUCGGACUCCAGGCCCUCUCGUUGGCUAAAUAUUUACAGUAAAAGCCUGAAACAACGUUCUAAAGACUGUGGCCAUCUAGUGGAAACCUUAGGAAG